rnacentral:rRNA from 1 species
CAGCAGCCGCGGUAAAACGGAGGGUGCAAGCGUUAAUCGGAAUUACUGGGCGUAAAGCGCACGCAGGCGGUUUGUUAAGUCAGAUGUGAAAUCCCCGGGCUCAACCUGGGAACUGCAUUUGAAACUGGCAAGCUAGAGUCUCGUAGAGGGGGGUAGAAUUCCAGGUGUAGCGGUGAAAUGCGUAGAGAUCUGGAGGAAUACCGGUGGCGAAGGCGGCCCCCUGGACGAAGACUGACGCUCAGGUGCGAAAGCGUGGGGAGCAAACAGGAUUAGAUACCCCUGUAGUCCCUGUCUCUUAUAC